AGUGAACGCUGGCGGCAGGCCUAAUACAUGCAAGUCGAACGGCAGCACAGCAGAGCUUGCUCUGUGGGUGGCGAGUGGCGGACGGGUGAGGAAUACGCGGGAAUCUGCCCAGUCGUGGGGGAUAACGUAGGGAAACUUACGCUAAUACCGCAUGCGCCCUUCGGGGGAAAGCCGGGGACCUUCGGGCCUGGCGCGAUUGGAUGAGCCCACGUCGGAUUAGCUAGUUGGCGGGGUAAAGGCCCACCAAGGCGACGAUCCGUAGCUGGUCUGAGAGGAUGAUCAGCCACACUGGAACUGAGACACGGUCCAGACUCCUACGGGAGCAGCAGUAGGGAAUAUUGGACAAUGGGCGCAAGCCUGAUCCAGCCAUGCCGCGUGAGUGAAGAAGGCCCUCGGGUUGUAAAGCUCUUUUGUCCGGAAAGAAAAGCGCCGGGUUAAUACCCUGGUGUCCUGACGGUACCGGAAGAAUAAGCACCGGCUAACUUCGUGCCAGCAGCCGUCGGUAAAGUA
rnacentral:rRNA from 1 species